UAUUAAAAAUUUUAUUUAUUUAUAUUGUUAAAAACUGGCGUGGUUGACAGAAUAAUCAAAUAGUGAUACGUGGUGUGCUGCGUGUACCUUAUGCUGACAUACAAUGACCAAUUUUUAAUAUUAAAAAUAGAUGAAAUUUUUAGCA
rfam:Gossypium raimondii Chr02_contig_223, whole genome shotgun sequence.